AUCGAUGAAGAACGCAGCGAAAUGUGAUAAGUAAUGUGAAUUGCAGAAUUCAGUGAAUCAUCGAAUCUUUGAACGCACCUUGCGCUCGCUGGUAUUCCGGCGAGCAUGUCUGUUUGAGUGUCAUGAACUCUUCAACUUCUUGUUCCUAGUGAACAAUGAAUGUUUGGAUUCUGGGCGUUGUAUUCGUUUACUCGCCCGUAAUAAAUUAGCAAAUCUAAUUCGAACUCGGAUUGACUUGAUGUAAUAGACUAUUCAUCGAGGACGAGCUCAGCGGAUAGCUUCAAAUAACAAAGUCAACUUUUAGACCUCAGAUCAGGCAGGAUUACCCGCUGAACUUAAGCAUAUCAAUAAGCGGAGGAAAAGAAACUAACCAGGAUUCCCCUAGUAACGGCGAGUGAAGCGGGACGAGCUCAAAUUUGUAAUCUGGCUGCUUUGCAGUCCGAGUUGUAAUCUCGAGAAGUUUUUUCCGCGCUGGAAGGCAUACAAGUCUGUUGGAAUACAGCGUCAUAGUGGUGAGAACCCCGUAGAUGAUGUCUCUCCCAGCGCUCUGUGAUAAACUUUCGAAGAGUCGAGUUGUUUGGGAAUGCAGCUCAAAUUGGGUGGUAAAUUCCAUCUAAAGCUAAAUAUUGGCGAGAGACCGAUAGCGAACAAGUACCGUGAGGGAAAGAUGAAAAGCACUUUGGAAAGAGAGUUAACAGUACGUGAAAUUGUUGGAAGGGAAACGCUUGAAGUCGGACUUGGCAGUUGGUGUUCAGCCCUCGGGUGUACUCAUCGACGACCAGGCCAGCAUCAAUUUUUGGGCGCUAAAAAGGGCGAGUUGAAGGUGGCAUCUCAUGAUGUGUUAUAGCUUCUCGCUGGAUUGGCGCCCGGGGAUUGAGGAACGCGGCGUGCUUAUUGCACUCCCCUCGGGGAGAUCACGCCUAGGAUGCUGGUAAUCGGCUUUAAACGACCCGUCUUGAAACACGG
rnacentral:rRNA from 1 species